GGGGAGAGGAAAAAAGAAGCCAAAAAAAAAAAGAAGAAAAAGAAAAAGAAAACCAACAAGGAAGAGGGUAAAUGUUCAAGAAACUCUUCUCCAAAUCCAAAUUCCACUUGGAUUCCACUUCGGGAGGAAAGUCCAUGUGAAGACACAGUGAGAAGGCAAGAAGGCAUCCAUCUGCAAGUCAGGAAAAGAGCCCUCAUCAGAAACCAAAUGUUGUGAGAACUUGAUCUUGGACUUCCCAGCCUCCAGAACUGUCUCACAUGAAGGAAGAUGUUCACCCUGAGGACAAGGCCCCUGCAUGCAUUCUCAGGACGUUCAUGUUUUCUUUACCCAUUCCCUUCCAUUCAAAUGUAAGUAAAUAAGAGACAAAUUUUUUUAUAGGUAUGAAUUUGAAUCAGCUCUAAUUUAUAAAAAGAGAAAGGUUGUUUUCAAACUUUAGUUUUUGCAUUAGAUAGGUUUGGCUAGUUAUGCUGCAACAAGAAACAACUCUUCGGGGCUUGCCACAGCAACAUUUUGUUUUUCACUCAAUGUGAACUUAUAGCGGAGGGGAUGCUCUGCUAAUCAAGACCACCCAGGCACCCAGCUGGCGGAAACACCAUCUCAAAGCAGCUCACAGGGUCACAGAGCUGAGCGAAGGUGACAUCACCAAUCACAAACUCAUUCUUUAUGUUUUUGCCCUGGAAUGACAUAUCAUUUUUGUUCUCAUUUCAUGACCAAGAUAAGUCACAUAGGCCAUGCCAUGUGGGGACAAGGAAAAGCAAUCUUAACAUAUGCUUUGAGAAGGAAAAAUGGAGUAUUUGUGAGUGUUCUAAUUACCACUACAGAUUUAAAAAGAGAAAAAUCAUUAGUAACAAUGAGUUAGGAUAUACAUCACUGUUCUACUUGUUAAUUGCACCUCCUGCUAGCCAAUAAAAGCUUAGUUGUGCCAUCUCUUAAGCUGAGGAGGUUCUUCCUGGACCAUAUAUUCUCCAUGUUUACUACACGGAAAGGGGGCUUUUUGGAUAUUUUGCUGAUGUUUACAUAUUGUUAAAUUCUAGUUUAGCAAAAUUUAACAUUGUACAUAUAUACCUAUAUAUUGUAGCAUAUUGUAUAGAUAAGCACAGGGCCACUCUAUAAUAGGUUCAAAACCAAAAGAUAAAAAUAGUUCUCCCAUAACACAAUGAAUAACCAGACUGAAAAUUCCACUUAAAUGGUUACCUAAUAUUAGUCUGUAUAGCAUCGUCUUCUUUCUAGAAAUACCUACAUAUGUAUAUUUAUAAUGCUUAGGAAAAACCUGGAAGUAAAUUCAUUAAAAUGCUAAUUAUAUCUGGUUAUAAUAGUAAAUAGUAUAUUAAUUUUUAUUUUACUUUUCUUUUAUCCGCAUUUUCUAAAUUUUCAAUGAUGAAUGUCCUAAAUAAUAAAAUUAUUAUCUCAUUGCAUUUGUGGUCAGGUGAAAUAACUGAAAGCAACUGUGAUAGGCAGGAUUCUGAGAUAGCCCCAAGAUCCCAAGAUUCCUCCCCACAGUGUACCUUGUAUAUAAGGAACACACCUUGUAUAAUCCUCUCCUAUUGAGUGUGGGCGGCACUGUGAAUACCGUGGGAUAUUGCUCCUGUCACUAUGUUAUGUUAUAUGACAAAAGGGAUUUUGUGGAUGUAAUUCAGGUCCAAAAUAAGUUGAGUUUGAGUUAAUCAAAAGAGAUAUUGCCUUGGGUGGGCCUGAGCUAAUACAGAGACAAGCAGCAGCAGAGGCCAUCCUCUACUGACCGUGAGGAAGUAAGCUGCCCAGUUGGUAGAGGAGGGGACCAUGGUUCAGCAUGAGAAGGUGGCAUCUGGGAGGCCUGACUGACAGCCAGCAAGAAAACUGGAACCUCAGGAAUAUAGCUGCAAGGAAAUGAAUUCUACCAACAACUGGCGAGCUUGGAAGAGGGCUCUUCCUCUCAGGUGAGCUAGCAGCCCUAACCUGCUACUUGAUUUUAGCCUGGCAAAGUCUUGAGCAGAGACCCCAGCUAACCCAUGCCUGGACUGCUAACCCGACAGGAUCAAUAGAUAAUGAAUUUGUGUUGUGUUAAGUCACUAAGUUUGUGGCCAGUUUGUUACACAGUAAAAACAAAACAAAACAAAACAAAAUACACAGCAAUGUCAACAACUGUCAGAAGAUUGUUCUGCAUAAAGUCAAGAAAAAGUGAGGAUAAACACAUAUUUAAAAAAAAUUUUUUUUCAAAUGGAAAUCAAAAUUGCAGUUACCUUUGUGGGAAGUUUGUUAUUGGGAAGGGGCAGGCGGGAGCCUGCUGGAAAUGUUCUACAUCUUGAUCCAGGUAGUGAUUGGUGCAGAUAUUAAAAUUCAUCGAGAUGUAUACUUAAUGACCUGUGUGCCUG
rnacentral:lncRNA from 1 species